rnacentral:rRNA from 1 species
GAUGAACGCUGGCGGCGUACUUAACACAUGCAAGUCGAGCGAAGCAUUUAGAACAGAUUAUUUCGGUAUGAAGUUCUUUAUGACUGAGUGGCGGACGGGUGAGUAACGCGUGGGUAACCUGCCUUGUACUGGGGGAUAGCAGCUGGAAACGGCUGGUAAUACCGCAUAAGCGCACAAUGUUGCAUGACAUGGUGUGAAAAACUCCGGUGGUAUAAGAUGGACCCGCGUCUGAUUAGCUAGUUGGUGAGAUAACAGCCCACCAAGGCGACGAUCAGUAGCCGACCUGAGAGGGUGACCGGCCACAUUGGGACUGAGACACGGCCCAGACUCCUACGGGAGGCAGCAGUGGGGAAUAUUGCACAAUGGAGGAAACUCUGAUGCAGCGACGCCGCGUGAGUGAAGAAGUAAUUCGUUAUGUAAAGCUCUAUCAGCAGGGAAGAUAGUGACGGUACCUGACUAAGUAGCUCCGGCUAAAUACGCGCCAGCCGCCGCCGUAACAC